rnacentral:lncRNA from 1 species
GGAGGCAAGAGAGUGGGUUUCCGGCUUCAGUCGUAGGGGUUCCUGAACUUCUUCAGGAGGUCCGGGAUGUCGUAGGCCAGCAUGUCGUCCACGCCCUGGACCAUCUUGGGCCUCAGCUUCUCGAACCUGUCGAAGUUGUAGGCGCUCAGGAGCUCCCUGUACUCCUCCACGCUCGGGAAGUCCCCUGGCGGCAGGUGCAGCUCCUUCUGGACCUGCACAGAGCAAGGGCAUGCAGCUCGGAUUCAGAGACAAGAACACGAACGUGCAUUGCAUGCAUGUGGGCUACACGCCUACACCUACACUACACCUAUAGGUGCCAGUGUGCAACUUGCAAG